rnacentral:rRNA from 1 species
AUGCAAGUUUUUAGAUCACAAGAUGUGGUUGAUUAUGAUCCACGUGCUGACAAUGCAACACAUGUGCACUAUACUGAUGGGAUAAAAAUAUUUAAAGUUGAGACUAUGCCUGAAAAGCUUAUGGAAAUAAAUAGCUUGAUGGAUCAUGUGUUGCUGGUUGGGCUGAACCAAUCACUUUGUCUCAGUGCUGAAGAAUAUCCACAGUUGAAGGCAAACACCAUCUACGUUGCUGAUGACCACGAGUAUCUAAAUUAUUACAAGAAUAACUGCCGUGACAUUGCAGCUUUUGACUUGACAUAUAACAGUAGUGAGGAACUUGUCUCCCCUCAGCUUUGGUCCAACUGGCCUACUCCCAUAUGGAUAACCCCCAGUCUUACAAAACAGCAUCCAACAUUGGACAGACAAUGA